AGGACGAACGCUGGCGGCGUGCUUAACACAUGCAAGUCGGACGGUGAUCUUGGGGGCUUGCCCCUGGGUGAUCAGUGGCGAACGGGUGAGUAACACGUGAGUAACCUGCCCUUCACUCUGGGAUAACUCCGGGAAACCGGGGCUAAUACUGGAUAUGACCUGCUCGGGCAUCCGAAGUGGGUGGAAAGAUUUAUUGGUGGGGGAUGGACUCGCGGCCUAUCAGCUUGUUGGUGAGGUAAUGGCUCACCAAGGCGACGACGGGUAGCCGGCCUGAGAGGGCGAUCGGCCACACUGGGACUGAGACACGGCCCAGACUCCUACGGGAGGCAGCAGUGGGGGAAUAUUGCACAAUGGGCGAAAGCCUGAUGCAGCGACGCGCGUGAGGGAUGAAGGCCUUCGGGUUGUAAACCUCUUUCAGCAGGGAGAAGCGAAGUGACGGUACCUGCAGAAGAAGCACCGGCUAACUACGCGCCAGCGAGCCGCGGU
rnacentral:rRNA from 1 species